GACGUAGGUCACAAGCGUUGUCCGGAAUUACUGGGUGUAAAGGGAGCGCAGGCGGGAGAACAAGUUGGAAGUGAAAUCCAUGGGCUCAACCCAUGAACUGCUUUCAAAACUGUUUUUCUUGAGUAGUGCAGAGGUAGGCGGAAUUCCCGGUGUAGCGGUGGAAUGCGUAGAUAUCGGGAGGAACACCAGUGGCGAAGGCGGCCUACUGGGCACCAACUGACGCUGAGGCUCGAAAGUGUGGGUAGCAAACAGG
rnacentral:rRNA from 1 species